UACGUAGGGGGCAAGCGUUGUCCGGAUUUAUUGGGCGUAAAGAGCGUGUAGGCGGCCAGACAGGUCCGUUGUGAAAACUCGAGCUCAACCUCGAGACGCCGAUGGAAACCGUUUGGCUAGAGUCCGGAAGAGGAGAGUGGAAUUCCCCGGUGUAGCGGUGAAAUGCGCAGAUAUCGGGAAGAACACCCGUGGCUAAGGCGGCUCUCUAGUACGGUACUGACGCUGAGACGCGAAAGCGUGGGGAGCGAACAGG
rnacentral:rRNA from 1 species